rnacentral:rRNA from 1 species
GUCCACGCCCUAAACUAUGUCAACUGGUUGUUGGGGGUUUGACACUCUCAGUAACGAAGCUAACGCGUGAAGUUGACCGCCUGGGGAGUACGGCCGCAAGGUUAAAACUCAAAGGAAUUGACGGGGACCCGCACAAGCGGUGGAUUAUGUGGAUUAAUUCGAUGCAACGCGAAAAACCUUACCUACCCUUGACAUGUCCUGGAGCCCGGAGAGAUCUGGGUGUGCCCGAAAGGGAACGGGAACACAGGUGCUGCAUGGCUGUCGU